GCCUAACCAUAAAAUACAAUUAAACCACCAAAUUGUCCGCCAAACAACUACGAGUUAUACUUAAAACUUAAAAGACUUGACGGUGCUUCACCACGCCCUAGAGGAGCCUGUCUAGUAACCGAUAAUCCACGAUUAACCCAGCCCCCUCUCGCCCAACAGUCUAUAUACCGCCGUCGCCAGCUUACCUUGUAAAAGAAAUAAAGUGAGCCAAAUAGCACUACACUUAAACGACAGGUCGAGGUGUAACUAAUGAGGGGGACUAAGAUGGGCUACAUUCUCUAUCCGAGAAUACGAACAAUACUAUGAAAUUAGCAUUAAAAGGCGGAUUUAGCAGUAAGAUAAGAAUAAAAUACUUAACUGAACAUAACGCAAUGAAGUGCGCACACACCGCCCGUCACCCCUGCCACCACAAAAUACACUUUUAUAAACAACCAAAAAAAUUAAAAUCAGGGCAAGUCGUAACAUGGUAAGUGUACUGGAAAGUGUACUUU
rnacentral:rRNA from 1 species